AUGCCCGUCUUUAUUUCCCAAGCACUUGUAAAACGAUAUGUUGAUCAUUUGAGGAAUAGAAGUCUUGAUAAUGUAAAGAAAAUGCCCUCGGCAGCAGCAGAGCCCGAGAGGCCGGAGCCAAGAAAGGAGCAGAGGAACAGAGCCCCGCGUGUGGGCGCGCCGGCUGACGGAGGGAUGAGGCGGCGCGGGGCGCGACAGCGGACGGAGGGAUGCAGCCGUCUUCCUCGCGCCGGGGGGAGCUGCGGUUCGGGGAUCUCUGGGAAAUCAGCGAGCGCGCCACCUGAAGAUCUCCAUGGCUAG
rnacentral:rRNA from 1 species